rnacentral:misc_RNA from 1 species
CGUAGGUGAACCUGCGGAAGGAUCAUUACUAAAUCCUAACCGUUGUCUACGUGGCAAUGGUAAAAUACCGUGCACUGGCGACCUUAGAUGGGAGAAUGUGAGGUGUACACCCGGCAUGCAAUUGGGUGGUGCACUUAAAUCAGCAGGAAUCACACGACAACCGCCUGCUGGGCCUCGCUCUCAUCUUUGGUUUUUUUUUGUUUUUACAACUUGUGUGUGUUUGGUGUGUGUGCGUUGAAAAGUAAUGACAACUUCUGACGGUGGAUCUCUUGGCUCGUGCAUCGAUGAAGAACGCAGCAAGCUGCGAUACCUAGUGUGAAUUGCAGAAUUCAGUGAAUCAUCGAGUCUUUGAACGCAAAUGGCGCUCCCGGGGUCUCCUCGGGAGCAGGUCUGUUCGAGCGUCUGCCAACCAAACAAGUUGUCAUGCACGGCACCUUCAGUGGUGAUGGUGGUGACAAGAGUGAGGAGCUGUGGGGCCAACGCAUCUGCACUCCUUCAAAAUCAUGCUAGCAUAGCACUGUGACAGGCCCAGUCCCCGGCGGACAAGACAGUCGUCACAACGGCUUAAGAAGUUGUUUCGGUGUCUGUGUGGCUUGGGACUUGUGACUUGUCGUCGGUGCCGAUCAGCCAGCAUCGAGAAAAC